rnacentral:tRNA from 1 species
GGUGGGGUGGCUCGAGAGGUUGAAGGCACCGCUCUUGAAAAGCGGAAUAUCCGAAAGGGUAUCGUGAGUUCGAAUCUCACCCCCACCG